rnacentral:rRNA from 1 species
UACGUAGGGGGCAAGCGUUGUCCGGAUUUAUUGGGCGUAAAGAGCGUGUAGGCGGCCAUACAGGUCCGUUGUGAAAACUGGAGGCUUAACCUCCAGACGUCGAUGGAAACCGUAUGGCUAGAGUCCGGAAGAGGAGAGUGGAAUUCCUGGUGUAGCGGGUGAAAUGCGCAGAUAUCAAGGAAGAACACCCGUGGCGAAGGCGGCUCUCUGGGACGGUACUGACGCUGAGACGCGAAAGCGUGGGGAGCGAACAGG